CAGUCGUACCUUCGGGUAAUCAGCCUUUCGAGUGCGAUUCUGUGGAGUGUGAGGAGCUAAACACCUUCAUGCCUGCAUAUUCGUGCUCUUGGGUGUACUUGCUCGUGUGGUAGGCCAACGUCAGUUUCGAUCACCGUAAAAUGAUCGGAGGAAUGUAGCUUCGAUCUCGUAUUGAAGUGUUAUAG
rnacentral:rRNA from 1 species